GGGAAAGCAGGGGAUCGCAAGACCUUGCGUUAUUCGAGCGGCCGACGUCUGAUUAGCUUGUUGGUGAGGUAAUGGCUCACCAAGGCGACGAUCAGUAGCGGGUCUGAGAGGAUGAUCCGCCACACUGGAACUGAGACACGGUCCAGACUCCUACGGGAGGCAGCAGUGGGGAAUUUUGGACAAUGGGGGCAACCCUGAUCCAGCCAUUCCGCGUGAGUGAAGAAGGCCUUCGGGUUGUAAAGCUCUUUCAGCCGGAACGAAACGGUAUGCCCUAAUACGGUGUGCUAAUGACGGUACCGGCAGAAGAAGCACCGGCUAACUACGUGCCAGCAGCCGCGGUAAUACGUAGGGUGCGAGCGUUAAUCGGAAUUACUGGGCGUAAAGCGUGCGCAGGCGGAUUGUUAAGCAAGAUGUGAAAUCCCCGGGCUUAACCUGGGAAUGGCAUUUUGAACUGGCAGUCUAGAGUGUGUCAGAGGGGGGUGGAAUUCCACGUGUAGCAGUGAAAUGCGUAGAUAUGUGGAGGAACACCAAUGGCGAAGGCAGCCCCCUGGGAUAACACUGACGCUCAUGUACGAAAGCGUGGGUAGCAAACA
rnacentral:rRNA from 1 species